AUUUACGUCAACAGGCGAGCUGUAGAUUUUUACUGAACAGGCUAAAACGACUACCAUAGAUCUAGUAUCAGAUAAAUCAGGGAAGUACUGACGGAGAAGCAAACAUGGAGUUUUCCACGCGGCUAGGAGAAAUUGUAUUGGUGUUCUCUGUAUUGAUAGAAUAUAUAGCAUGUGCAAACGAUACAUUAGUGAGUUAUCAUGGUAAUCCAGAUAUAAAGGCAGAAAGACUUUAUGAUCUGAUGAUGGGCAUUGUGGUUGGUAUCAGUUUCUCCGCUGUGUUCUUGGUGUUGCUGUUGAUAACUUUUGUUUAUUACCGGAGUAUAAAGGCAUGAACAGAAACGAAUUUUAAUAGAUAACUUGGGGGAAAAAUAACAACAAAGGAUUGAAAUGUUAUAGUUAAUACUUAAGUAGUGUUAUUGAAUUCAAUAUUAUAUUCAUUUUCAUGCAUUUAAGGACUGUGAAGUGACUAGAAAGUUUACGGAUAAUUGCCAAAAUUGUGACAAGAAAAUAAAAAAAAAGCAGUUCUCGAUAUAACAAUUUUAAUCCUGAUAUGUGAUCAUGAAUAUUUUACAGAAAACUAUACUAUUUAAUGAAAUUUCAUGAUAAAAACUGUAGCUUUGUUUUACUUAGAAAAAAGGAGGUUGUCAUCAAAUUAAAGUGAUUAUCAGAAGGUCACUUGACUAAAACUGUCUUAUGAAAACAAUUGAAAACAACAAAAAUAAUUGCCAAUUACAAAACAGAUUACAUAAUGAUAGAGGGUUUGGGUGAGGUUUACAGA